AUUCCAGCUCCAAUAGCGUAUAUUAAAGUUGUUGCAGUUAAAAAGCUCGUAGUUGGAUUUCUGGUGCAUUCCACUGGCCUAUUGGUUAACUCCAACUUGGCUCAUUUGGAAUACGCCAUCUUUAGGCAGACCCGUCGUGGCAUUAGGUUGUCGUGAUGGUUACGCCUAUCGUUUACUGUGAAGAAAUUAGGGUGUUCAAAGCAGGCUUAUGCCAUGAAUACGUUAGCAUGGAAUAAUGAGAUAGGAUUUCGGUACUAUUUUGCUGGUUUGUGUACGGAAAUAAUGAUUAACAGGAACAGUGUUGUGGGUAUUCGUAUUUCGUUGUCAGAGGUGAAAUUCUUGGAUUUACGAAAGACGAACGACUGCGAAAGCAUUUACCAAGGAUGUUUUCAUCA
rnacentral:rRNA from 1 species